rnacentral:rRNA from 1 species
CCUACGGGUGGCAGCAGUGGGGAAUAUUGGACAAUGGGCGAAAGCCUGAUCCAGCCAUGCCGCGUGUGUGAAGAAGGCCUUCGGGUUGUAAAGCACUUUCAGUGGGGAAGAAAGCCUUGGGGCUAAUACCCUCGAGGAAGGACAUCACCCACAGAAGAAGCACCGGCUAACUCCGUGCCAGCAGCCGCGGUGAAUACGGAGGGUGCGAGCGUUAAUCGGAAUUACUGGGCGUAAAGCGCGCGUAGGCGGUCUGAUAAGCCGGUUGUGAAAGCCCCGGGCUCAACCUGGGAACGGCAUCCGGAACUGUCAGGCUAGAGUGCAGGAGAGGAAGGUAGAAUUCCCGGUGUAGCGGUGAAAUGCGUAGAGAUCGGGAGGAAUACCAGUGGCGAAGGCGGCCUUCUGGACUGACACUGACGCUGAGGUGCGAAAGCGUGGGUAGCAAACAGGAUUAGAUACCCGAGUAGUC